GAGAGGCCCAGCAGGGGGCGGGGACGCCGGGAGGCGGGGCCUGGCCGAGCUGCGCACACCCGGGUGGUUCUGGCUACGGGUACCCGGACCUGCCCAACGACCGUUCUCCAUUCCCGACCUCCGCACCCUACCCGGUCCGCAGGGCACCUUCCUCCUCUCUCUCAGGCACGUCCUCGACCUCAGUUGCCACGUGCACAUGCUGGUGCCUUCCAGGUCGGUCUUUCUCCACCAGACUCCACCUGGAACUUUCUUCCUUUUCGUCCUGUGCUGGCCUAACCCCUGCUCGGCCUCGGCCCUCAGCUGCCGGCUCUAACAAAGCCUCUGUCUUUCCCAGACCCCUGUGACCAGGCUGGAGUAUAGUGGCAUGAUCAUAGAUCACUGCAGCCUCAAACUCCUGGGCUCAAGCGAUCCUCCCACCUCAGCCUCCAUAUAGCUGGUGGGGACCAAGUUUCUAACACAUGAAUGUUGGGAGACACAUUCAGACCAUCGCAGUGGCCUUAUAAAAAGAGACACAAGAGCUUGCUCUCUGCCAUGUGAGAAUACCACAAGAAGACUGUCCUCAGCAAAUCAGAAAGCGGGUGGACCCUCAUCAGACACCAGAUGUGCCUGCACCUUGAUCUUGGACUUGCCAGCCUUCAGAACAGUAAGAAAGAAAUGUGUGUUGUUUAAGCCACCCAGUCUAUGGUAACUUGCUAUAGCAGCCCACUAGGAGACCCCAAGAUAUUUAAAAACUCAUCAGCACCUGCUUUCUGCAUCUGGACCCUGAUCUUCUGGUGGGUUUACCAGUUACUUGUAGAGUGUCCCUGUGAUAGUUUUAGGUGUCAACUUGACAGGAUUGAGGGAUGCCUAGAUGGCUGGGGAAGCACUGUUUCUGAGAAGGACCAUGUUUUUGGAGGAGACUGUUUUAUGAGUGAAUUUCAGGGGACACAUUCAGAUCAUGGCAGUGGCAUUAUAAAGAGAGACACAAAAGCUUGCUCUCUCUCUCUGCCAUGUAAGACUACCACACAAAGACUGCCAUCUGCAAACCAGAAGCAGGUGGGCUUUCCUCAGACACCAGAUCUGCCUGCACCUUGAUCUUGGACUUGCCAGCCUUCAGAACUCUAAGAAAGAAAUGGUAGCAUGGCUUGGUCUAAGUUGGAAGGCCUGAGAAACAAGCACAUGGUGGAACUGAGUUCAAGGAUAAAGACUUGAGAAUACCUGCUCAGUGGACUGAGUAGGGAAGAUCAACCCUCAAUGUAGGCAGGCACUAUCCAAUCACCUGAGGGCCCAGAUGGAACAAAAAGGUGGAAGAAGGGUGAAUUCUCUCUUCCAGAGCUGUGACACCCUUCUCAUGCCCUUGUACCACACAACUCUAGGUCCUUUGGCCUUUGGACUCUGACACUUGCACCAGUGGCCCUCUGGGGCUCUCAAGCCUUUAGCCUUGAACUUAGUUACACCAUGUGCCUCCUUGUUUCUCAGGCCUUCCAACUUGGAUCAGGCCAUGCCACCGGCUUCUCUGAUUCUCCAGCUUGCAGAUGGUAUAUUGUGACCCUGGCAUUUAAUAACUAUGACUUUGGUCUUAAGCAAUUUUCUUCCUCUGUGGAUUGAUAUUUACAUAUCAAUGUGGAUAAUAAUUUCUUACCACGGUAACUGUUGUGAGGUAAAAAUGAGUUAACAUAAGUAAAACCGAGCACAUGCAAACCAUCCGAAAUGGUUAAUACUUA
rnacentral:lncRNA from 1 species